rnacentral:rRNA from 1 species
UACGUAGGGUGCAAGCGUUGUCCGGAAUUAUUGGGCGUAAAGAGCUCGUAGGCGGUCUGUCGCGUCGGCUGUGAAAACCCGGGGCUCAACCCCGGGCCUGCAGUCGAUACGGGCAGACUAGAGUGCGGUAGGGGAGACUGGAAUUCCUGGUGUAGCGGUGAAAUGCGCAGAUAUCAGGAGGAACACCGGUGGCGAAGGCGGGUCUCUGGGCCGUAACUGACGCUGAGACGCGAAAGCGUGGGGAGCAAACAGG